rnacentral:lncRNA from 1 species
GGCUCAAGGCCACUUGCCCCAGGAAGAUAGCAGAAACAGGAAGAAAGCUGGCCGAGAGACACAUACCCGCUGAAGAUCGAAAAGGAAGCUGUCAAGGUACUACGUAGCAGUCACUUCAGACUCGGACACUUCCUGUUUACAGAGGACUAUAAAACCCCUGCCCCGUCCUCACUUGACGCUGACGCCAUUUUAGGCCUCAGCCCAUCUGCACCCAGGCGCUCGUUAAAACAGCCUGUAGCUCCACACCGCCUCCUGUUGUCUGUUGGCACGUUCUCGGGGUUCCAACCGAUACAAGAGCCUUGCAAAAGGUUGGGAUCAUGGUGCCAGAGGCAGGACCAAAAUGAGAUCCCCUCAGACAAAUUGGCAACCCCUGGAAUGGAGUGUGGUAUCAACUGAGCCCACUGUGUAUCUCCUCUUGGAUUCUAGGACUCUUACUUUGUCUCACGAUGAUGGGAGACAGUGAUACGUCAUCAGGCAUGAUCUUCUCUCAAGAAGCCUGCAACCUGGAAUCUUCUCACAAGGAGUGUGCAACCUAGAUUCUUCUCACAAGGAGAGUGCAAGCUAAAUUCUUCGCAUGUGCAGUUCACGAUAGGUUUCAUGCUCCCAUGAGAAUCUAAUGCUGAUGCUAAUCUGACUGGAGGCAGAGCUCAGGGAAGGAUGAGAGUGAAGGGGAGUGGCUGUAAGUACAGAUGAAGCUUUGCUCCCUUGCGGGCUACUCACCUCCUGCUCUGCGUCCCACCCAGAUCCUAACAGGCCAUGGUACCAGUCUGUGGCCCAGGGUUUGAAGACCCCAGAUCUAUAUAAUUAAAACUACUGUAUGUAAGAAACAGUUCUGUAUACAGAGUGUAUGAGAAAAGUAAAAUGUUAUACGGUAUGAGGAUGUGGUUUUUGUUAAAUAACAGUAAUUUUGUUUAGGUUAAAGAGUAUCUAAAAGUUAUUCCAAAAUAAAAAAAAGAUACAAUGGUAUAGAUAAAAUUAGAUUAUUAUAAGCAGUAGGGGGAAAAAGAAUUAAAAAAUUUAAGAGACUAUAAAAGGUUGAUGAAAAUCUUAUCGUGUGUAGUCAAAGUUGACUGAGAUUGACAGAUUUGUUUACAAGGUUUUAUUAAAAUUAACUUUAUGGCCGGGAGCAGUGGCUCACGCCUGUAAU